ACAGACUUAGUUUGUGUUCAAGGAGAGAAUAGUUUUCUCUGUGAACAGCAUUAACGACGUCGUUUCCGAAGCAAUUAUUAUUCAUCUGCACCGCCGAUUCACUCAGGUGGCAAAAGGUGUAAAGGGACAACUCCAACAGCUCAACCAGGAUUUUCUCACAGUUGAAGAAAUCGAGUCUUCAUUGCCAAUGCCAUGAAUAUCUUGCUGAAUUGGGAGCAACAGCGCUGAGAUGGUGUACAUUAUCGAGUAGCGGGGUCUAAGUGCGUGGUCAUCAUUGGACCGUACAAAGAUUUUGGAACUACCAGCUGAAGAUAUGUACUCGUGUCGUGGUUUCCAAUUCAAAACGAAUAAAUGACGACGAGGAAAAGAAAUACCCAAAGCCAGAAGAAUUAUAUCUGAUUUCACCUGCCAAAUCAUUUGACCUGUCGGAAAGAUAUCGACAGAUAUAUAUGUAUAUAUAUAUAUAUAUAUAAGGUCUCCCGCGAAUUACUAAUGCAGGCAUUUUUGCGUGUAUUUGUGCUGUGAAGAUUUUCGGAUCUGCCAAGCUAACCAGGAGAUUGUUUGCAUGUAAUUGAGAUCAAUAUUGUUUAUAACAUAUUUGCAUACAUUUUCCUUCUGUUGGUUUAAAUCUUACAGAGAUGAUGUCGAAAUUCCUUUGGCAGCACGAUUCGUAUUUCUUGUAAAUGCUACACCCGAUGAAAUAAUAACACACACGUCCAUGUGUAUUUGCAUUUAAUAGGUUGUUAUUUAUAUAAAUUUAUUGUUCAAAACGACUCGAUAUAUUACAGUAGGUGUAGCAUCUCGUAAACAUGCAAAAAGAACACAAUGUUUGUGUAUGAUAUAAUAAAACAAUUCCAGCUGUGAUUUCAUGUAAUAUUCGAUACUCGUUUAUUUGCUCUUAUUCUUUCUGAAU